rnacentral:tRNA from 1 species
GCGAGUGUCGUAUAAUGGCAAUACCUGAGAUUUCCAAUCUUAUAAUGCGGGUUCGAUUCCUGUCACUCGCUCCA